CUGCUCUGAGAAUAAAAUGCAAAAGUGUUACGGUUACAGUAGAUGGAAGGUUGGUUUGAGCUUUCCUUCAGUCUUCAGUGUUACGGUUACAGUAGAUGGAAGGUUGGUUUGAGCUUUCCUUCAGUCUUCAGUGUUACGGUUACAGUAGAUGGAAGGUUGGUUUGAGCUUUCCUUCAGUCUUCAGUGUUACGGUUACAGUAGAUGGAAGGUUGGUUUGAGCUUUCCUUCAGUCUUCAGUGUUACGGUUACAGUAGAUGGAAGGUUGGUUUGAGCUUUCCUUCAGUCUUCAGUGUUACGGUUACAGUAGAUGGAAGGUUGGUUUGAGCUUUCCUUCAGUCUUCAGUGUUACGGUUACAGUAGAUGGAAGGUUGGUUUGAGCUUUCCUUCAGUCUUCAGUGUUACGGUUACAGUAGAUGGAAGGUUGGUUUGAGCUUUCCUUCAGUCUUCAGUGUUACGGUUACAGUAGAUGGAAGGUUGGUUUGAGCUUUCCUUCAGUCUUCAGUGUUACGGUUACAGUAGAUGGAAGGUUGGUUUGAGCUUUCCUUCAGUCUUCAGUGUUACGGUUACAGUAGAUGGAAGGUUGGU